AUGAUUCAUCUCAACCUUCGCCGCAAGCUAUUCACAGCAUACAACACCACAACGUUUCCGCUAACCACCUCCAUCCAAUUCCUCCUUCCGCGUGCGUAUACUCCCUCUAUUUCACUGGCUUCACCUUUUUGUUUUAUCAUUAGUUUAUUCUUUUUCUUUUUCUUUUUAAUAUUAUUGUUAUAA